GUACUACUAACGCGAAUUUAAUCGAUUUAUCCAGAUACACGUUUAUCUGAAUCACAUCCCAGAUCCAAUGUCCAGUAAAGUGGAGUUAGUAUGUGUCCAUUGUUACCCAGCUGAAGAUAAUUGUCGAAUGGUCGGAGAGAAUUUUGUUUUCCAGAUUGGUGAUCUCCACAGUAUAAGAGAUAAUGGAAGAUGAUGGAUGUUGGAGGUUUUAAUGCAUCAGAAGAAAAAUAGCCAGUGAAGAAAAUAGGAGAUGUGUAAUAUUCGAAUAUAUAGGGUGCCUUCAGUAGAUCUGGGAGACGUCUAGUAGUAUUGGCAGAUCUCUCUGGACUAAGCAGUAGCCGGCUGGGGUGGCCGAGCGGCUCCAGGCGCUACAGUCUGGAACCGCGCGACUGCUACAGUCGCAGGUUUGAAUCUUGCCUCGCACGUGGAUGUGUGUGAUGUCCUUAGGUUAGUUAGGUUUAAGUAGUUCUAAGUUCCAGGGAACUGUUGACCUCAGAAGUUAAGUCCCAUAGUGCUCAGAGCCAUUUUUGAACUAAGCAGUAGCGUAUGUGAACAAUAAAUAACCGUUUGAGGAAAAAAUUUACCUCUAAAACAUGUCACCUGAUCUCCCAACCAAGAAAGAUAUUGACAAAACUGUCAUUAUUAAAAAAAAAGAGUUUGAAGGAUUUUAGUAUGAGAACUAUGAAGUAAA